UGGCUCGGUUUCCUGGGGGGUGGACUCAGCCUGCUCCACCUCCCCUCAGACGAGCCGAGAGUAGAGAGGCUAGGCUCUCUCCCCUUUAGGAGAGGCGGUUAAGAAAGGAGCCUCCCCUGGCCUGUCUUUGCCUCACAUUU